rnacentral:rRNA from 1 species
CAGCAGCCGCGGGAAUACGGAAGGUCCAGGCGUUAUCCGGAUUUAUUGGGUUUAAAGGGAGUGUAGGCGGUCUGUUAAGCGUGUUGUGAAAUUUAGGUGCUCAACAUUUAACUUGCAGCGCGAACUGGCGGACUUGAGUGCACGCAACGUAUGCGGAAUUCAUGGUGUAGCGGUGAAAUGCUUAGAUAUCAUGACGAACUCCGAUUGCGAGGGCAGCGUACGGGAGUGUUACUGACGCUUAAGCUCGAAGGUGCGGGUAUCGAACAGGAUUAGAUACCCGGGUAGUCCCUGUCUCUUAUAC